CCGCCGCCGCCGCCGCCCGCCGGCCUCCUCGCUACCCCCCACCCCAGCUCUUCCCCGAGAUAGGCUGUCCAGGAAAGCCGAACGCUCCUGGCCCGCAUUCUCCCAGCCUGCUAGCUCCGGAGGCCGCCUCCUCACCCUCCUCUUGGGGGGUGAAGACGUCUGUGCACGGAACGCAGCAAAUGGAUGGUCCCUAAGAACCUGACAUCGCCGCUGGAAAACUCAGAAUGAGAUUACGGAGAGGAAGUUUGCAUCUCAUGUGGUCUGAGAAAUUGACCAAAAUGACCCUGUGAAGGCAACAGGAGACUGUAAAAAGUGCUUUAAAACAAGAACUUUAUAUUAACUCCCAGGUAAUCAUCCAUAUGUGUACAUGUAUAUAUAAUGAGCAUCUUUCCAUGUUGUGAAAUGUACUUCUGCAAUAUCAUUUUCAAUGGGUACAUAUUAUUCUAUCAUAAGGAUAAAUGAAAUUUUACCCAAUUAAUCCCCAAUUGUAGGACAUUUAGGUUAUUUCCAUUUUUUCAUAAUGCAAGCAACACUGCGUAGCUAAAUCUUUGCACACAUCAAUAAUUUUUUGCUUAGGAGAAAUUCCCCCGUGUUAGGAUUUACCAAUGAAAUUGUCAUUUACAUCUCUGAAGGGUUCUUUGAUUUUUUUUUUUAACUUUUAAUUUUAGGGAUUCUAUUGUAUCUUGAAGCCUCUAAGGAUUGGGAGUGCCCUAUUCCAAAUAGGUGAAAUAAAGCUACACCUGUUGAAGUACAA